GGAGGGAAAUGACGAGGGUACGGUGAGCAGGUGGCAAAGAGGAGAAAGCGCAGCACGGAGCUAUCAGCUCAACGUAAAGAAAUAAGAAAUAAUUUGGUGCCAAGGACAAGAGCAUUGAUAAUACAACUAGAUAUUGCUUGCGUUGCGUCACAUGACUUCUUCCCGGAAGUGAAAAACAUUGGUGGUCAACCAAGCCAGGAUUUUUGUUGAACAGCAAGCGACGCGUGAAUUCUGAGUACACAAGCGGCCUAGAUCCGUGGUUCUCAAAUGGGGGUGCGUGUACCCCUGGGGGUACUUGUAAGUAUGCCAAGGGGUGCAUGUCUUUGGAAGUGGGAGGAAGCCGAAUUCCCCGGAAGGAACCCACACAUUCACGGGGAGGACAUGCAAACUCCACACAGAAAGCCCGGAAUUGAACCCCGGACUACUCAGGACCUUCGUAAUGUGUGGCAGACGCACUAACCCCUCUGCCACCGUGAAGCCAUAAGAAGUACCCGACACUUGUAAAUGCAUUUGUACAGCAUGAAUUUUACCCCGACUUAAACAAGUUGAAAAACUUAUUGGGGUGUUACCAUUUAGUGGUCAAUUGUACGGAAUAUGUACUGUAUUGUGCGACCUACUAAUAAAAGUAUCAAUCAAUCAAUCAAUCAAAGCAGAUGAA